GACGAACGCUGGCGGCGUGCUUAACACAUGCAAGUCGAACGGAAAGGCCUGCUUUCCCUUGUGGAUUGCGGGUACUCGAGUGGCGAACGGGUGAGUAACACGUGAGUGAUCUGCCCCCAACUUGGGUAUAAGCCUGGGAAACUGGGUCUAACUCCCGAUAGGACUGCAGGGUGGUGCCUGUGGUGGAAAACGAUUUUCUAGUGGUUGGGGAUGAGCUCGCGGCCUAUCAGCUUGUUGGUGGGGUAAUGGCCUACCAAGGCGGCGACGGGUAGCCGGCCUGAGAGGGUGGACGGCCACAUUGGGACUGAGAUACGGCCCAGACGCCUACGGGAGGCAGCAGUGGGGAAUAUUGCACAAUGGGCGGAAGCCUGAUGCAGCGACGCCGCGUGGGGGAUGACGGCCUUCGGGUUGUAAACUCCUUUCGACCGCGAGGAAGCCACCUGGUUGGAAGGGUGGUGACGGUAGUGGUAGAAGAAGCACCGGCUAACUACGUG
rnacentral:rRNA from 1 species